rnacentral:lncRNA from 1 species
UCGCGGCUCUGCCCUGCGUUCCCAGGAUUUCUGCUCCUGCCUGGGCCCCCUCCCGGCCCCUAGCCCUGGGCUGCAGGGCCAAGAUUCACAGAGAGAUUUGCCUCUGCAUGCUCCCUGGAAAUGGGGUCAGCAAGGACCAAGAUACAGACCCCAGGGAAGAUGCGACCUCCAGGUCCAAAAGGAAGAGCACAGAAAAUUCAUCUCCAUGGCAACGCCUUAGGAAGCUGCAGCCUCAAGAUUAUAACUUCCCAAGCAAUGAAGACAAUAAAUGGAUUUUUCACAAA